UAGAACUAUCUAGAGAACUCCUCUGCCCUAUUUAGUUUCAGAUGGACACACGCCUUUACCUUCUCGGACUCUAGCCGUGAACAUCGAAGGAGACAGGAUGCAGCGCGAAGGAAAGAGGAACCAAGAAGGACGGCGACACUCGCAAAAAGAUUGCCGUGGCUGAGGACGGCCGACGGAGUGGUGGCGGACGAGAAAAAGAGUGACCGGGAAGUGAGAGGGAGAUAACAAGAAAGGAGAUGCUGAAGCGAAGACGGAGUGGGGGAGAGAUCCGGAAGAGUGGCGAGGGAAUCGCUGGUAUGAUGGACAGUCCGCGAAAAAGGAAAACGACGUCGCAUAAAUAGAGGAAGAAAACAGAAGGUUGAAGACAUGUAUAAAGGAUAGUGGUAGAGUCAGGAAAAAGGAAUGGUGAGAAUCUAGUGAAGCGAAUGGAAAGAAUUGAUGGGACGUACACAGAGUUUGGCAUUAUUCGAGUUGUUCCGAAUCAAUAUUUAUCCGAGAUUAUUAUCCGAAUGAAUUCUUUUUAGUCGAACGUUUUAUUCGAAUAACGGAUUAAUCAUUAUUUGUCAUAAAUCAUUCUAUCUAUUUACUCGAAUACAUUAUUCGCAUAAUUCUUUGUUCAGGAUAGAUUAUUCGAGUGGAGAUUGUGAAAUUAUUCGAACAAGUUAUUCAAAGAGAGAUUGUAAAAUUAUUCGAACAAGUUACUCGAAUGAAGAUUGCAAAUUUAUUCGAAUGGAAAUUGUAAAAUUAUUCGAAUAAGUUAUCGCUGUACGCUGUGUUACUUCAAACUAGAAACAUCCGUUUGUUUAUAACGAAGCUGAAUUAAUCGAUCGAUUACAGUCAUUGAAAGUUUCACGGAGACGAUCAAAGAUUAUGAUGACAAAUUUUUGUUAUCGUCAAUUUGCACGUGCAACGUAGCAACGUAAACAUCAAUUCAUCUUCUGAAAUCACUCGUCUCUGAGAAGUUUUAAACUUGAAGCCAUUGGAAUUGUACUAUUAUCGCGGCUCCACUAGAGGCACACCGAAGCAAGAAAUUAGCAGUUUUUAUCGACGCUCGUACAGCUUUUAUCGCGGCUCCAAUGUAAAUGUAUCCUUACGCUAACGUCAGUCCAUGAUAACGAUGAAUCAUAAAUUGUCUGAAUGCGUAACCACUGUUCCAUCAAUCUAUCAUUUGAUCCAAUUUACAAUAUUUCACUUGUGUGAACGUUCGGAACGAGAACUAUAAUUUCCAAAUUAAACGAUCUUCGAUCUAAAUAUUUUAAUACUUUUUUUUAAAGAAAAUACAAUGAUGCAUUUACUUGAAGAAAAAGAAAUAUAUGAUACUUCACAGAAAAAAUUCUAGUUACCUUUAUUAUUUUAGUAAGUAAACAAUUUUUUUUAUUAAUUUUCAUUAACAUCGUUUACUGUUACAGUAAUUUCCAAAAUCCUUCUUUUUUUAUAUUAUAUUAUAAUAUGUACUGCGUUUAAAUUCUCUCCAUGUUCAAAAGAAUUAGAAGAAAUGACGCACGUCAAUAUAGUUUGUUUAAAAUUGUACUACGCAAUCUUUUGCGAAAUUUAGUACUUCGUACGCCUCAACAACGUUAUUAACGUAUAGCUAUUUAUUUUUCGGUAACAGUAUCGUCGACGUAUUCGAUCAGUUGGAAACAAAUUUAACUAAUUCCACGGGGCACGCAUUCAUCUGUAUAUGUAUAUUCGCUUUCACGAGUUGCAACAGGAAUAAAUCGUAAACUCAGUAAUUUAAUUACCGUAUGUCACGCAUUUUCUGUAGAUUCUAAGCGAAUACGUUUCAAUAUUCUACGGCGCAAUUCACAAUUCACCCGCGGUAUAAAUUCCUUAUGUUACAACUUUGCUUUUCACGGAACAGUCAGGGAAAAAGUUUGAGAAAAAGCUGAUGCUUUUAUGAAACGAUCGUUCCUCGUAUUACCCAGAAACCACUGGGUACAUAGCCAUUUCUGUAUUUCGUUUGACAAAAUUUUUGUGUUCUUCUGAAAACAUCGCUAUCCCCAUUCCAAAUAUUUAUUUAAUAAAGUUUUAAUAAAUUAGGUACAAAGUUA